rnacentral:rRNA from 1 species
GGGUUGUGAGGUUAAGCGACUAAGCGUACACGGUGGAUGCCCUGGCAGUCAGAGGCGAUGAAGGACGUGCUAAUCUGCGAAAAGCGUCGGUAAGGUGAUAUGAACCGUUAUAACCGGCGAUGUCCGAAUGGGGAAACCCAGUGUGAUUCGUCACACUAUCGUUAACUGAAUACAUAGGUUAACGAGGCGAACCGGGGGAACUGAAACAUCUAAGUACCCCGAGGAAAAGAAAUCAACCGAGAUUCCCCCAGUAGCGGCGAGCGAACGGGGAGCAGCCCAGAGUCUGAAUCAGCUUGUGUGU